rnacentral:sRNA from 1 species
GUAGCUGGGACUACAGGCGCCCGCCACCUCGCCCGGCUAAUUUUUUGUAUUUUUAGUAGAGACGGGGUUUCACCGUGUUAGCCAGGAUGGUCUCGAUCUCUUGACCUCGUGAUCCGCCCGCCUCGGCCACCCAAAGUGCUGGGAUUACAGGCGUGAGGCACCGCGCCCGGCCAGCAAAGGGGCCAUUAAAAAUCUUUAAUUGUGCCAGAUGUCUCUGACUACUGAGUCAACAUUUGCUGAUUGAGCCAUGAAGAUUGAGGUUUUUCUUUCAUUUAAAGAUGACACACUCUGAAAUUAAUUUGAUUUUGAGAUUUGAGAACUUGGACAUACAUACUUCCAAUGGAAGGAGUCAUGCUAUACUGAAAAGACACUUGAUCAAGAGAACUCUGGGAGA